rnacentral:rRNA from 1 species
CUCCUACGGGAGGCAGCAGCAGGGAAUAUUGCACAAUGGGCGAAAGCCUGAUGCAGCGACGCCGCGUGCGGGAUGAAGGCCUUCGGGUUGUAAACCGCUUUCAGCAGGGACGAAAAUGACGGUACCUGCAGAAGAAGCCCCGGCCAACUACGUGCCAGCAGCCGCGGUAAUACGUAGGGGGCGAGCGUUGUCCGGAUUUAUUGGGCGUAAAGGGCUCGUAGGCGGUUUGACAAGUCGGUCGUGAAAACCCGGGGCUCAACCCCGGGACGCCGGUCGAAACUGUCAUGACUAGGGUCCGGUAGAGGUGAGUGGAAUUCUCGGUGUAGCGGUGAAAUGCGCAGAUAUCGAGAGGAACCCCAGUUGCGAAGGCGGCUCACUGGGCCGGUACCGACGCUGAGGAGCGAAAGCGUGGGGAGCAAACAGGAUUAGAUACCCUGGUAGUCCACGCCGUAAACGUUGAACACUAGGUGUGGCGGACUUAUCCACGUCCGCCGUGCCGAAGCUAACGCAUUAAGUGUUCCGCCUGGGGAGUACGGCCGCAAGGCUAAAACUCAAAGGAAUUGACGG